rnacentral:snRNA from 1 species
GAAAGCAUAGGCUUUCCAGUAAAAUAUAAGGAUGGUGGAAGAUUAGCAUGGUCCCUUGCGCAAAGAUGAAACGCAAAAUCGUGAAGCGAAUCAAUAUGUU